rnacentral:lncRNA from 1 species
GGUUGGUGCUCUGGCCCUGCUGCCGGGAGGGCUAUCAGGCCUCAAGGAUGUGGUCCAGACCUUUGUGUGGGGACACAGCAGCUGGCACACUGGGGAUGCUCAGUGAACGUGUGAUGAAUCAACUUAGUAACUGAAUUCUCAGCACGGGUUCUGGGCCAGCCACACCUGCCUGUGAGACACUCUUGUCACUGCCUGACUGUUUUCCAGGGGCUCUCCCUGCCUUAGUUGAAGAGAAACUUGGUAUGGGAGCCUUGGCAGGCCCAGCAGAGGAGGUUUGUGGCUGGAGGACUUUGGCCCCCUCCUAUGGCCUCUCUCCUGUCCCACUGAGUUGUGCCUAUUCAUUGCCAAGGUUCUUGUGUCUUUUUGGGCAGGUGGCUGGGUGCGCACAACCCACAGAGAUGGGGCAGGGCUAUAUGGGGAUUUAUGUGCAGAAUUUAAUAACCUUUUGCCCUUCUCCUGGGCACCGGGAGAGAAGACUGGAUGUCUCUGAGGUAGAGGUGUCCACACCCCUUCCCUACCCGGGGGCCCUGCCUCCCAAGGCUUGGUGCUUCCUUGUUCCUAUGACUCCGAGACCGUCAGAGGCUGGAGAGGGGUGCACUGGGAGGGGGCUGGAGAAGAGGCCUCCCCUGCCUUUGACACCUGGACUGCUCAGUGCUGCCAUCCACUCUGUGUCAGCAUCGAGAGGGUGUUUUAGAGAUGGAAAAAGGCCCUGAUCUUUUCCAUUUUUUGAGUACCUUGAAUAUUAAAAAAAAAAAGAAAAAUGCCAAAAAUGGGUACAAAAAAUUGUAGGUUGUACAGUCUAUUUAAUUGCUGAAUAAAUGAAUGCUUUUUAACACAUAAAAGUAUAAUUAGGCUGGAUAGACCCUCCUUUGGAGGGAAGGCCUGUGGUUUGAGGCCCUUUGUGAAUGAGGUUCAGGACACGUGGCCCUCCUGGUGCUCUGCUCCUCUUCAUCCCCCACGUUAGGUCCAGGCAUCAUUGGGGGCUCUCCUGCCAGUGGGCUCAGGAUCCCACUUUCCUGGUGGACCCAGGCUCUCAGACCAACUCUGUGUCCCUGGGCAGGGGAGUAGAGCCCUCAGGCUGGCCUGGCUCGGCCUGUCACUGGCAGGGUCUCUUUGCUGGUUGGGAUCAACAGGAGGCCAAGGGAACACUCCAGGCAGUGCCUGGGUCACGGCGCCCUCCUCCUAGGUGGGGCCCAUCACUGGGGUCUCCAGGGCCUUGGUUACACACGGGCAAAGGAACCCCUAUAGCUCCCACUCAGGCCUUCUGUGCUUUCAGACCUAAGCAACAGCUCCACCACCGGGGGCGAACUUUCUGCUGGUUUCUUUGUGAUGGUAGCAGCUGUUGGCUCACUCCUCACGUGCCUAUGUUGGCUGGGCAUUGUGAUAAGAGCUGAGAAUGUGGUGAGGGUUAUUCCCAGUGGCUGUCCUAGAGGGGUUGACCAUUGACAUGGGAGAAAAGCACAAGAGCAUUGGUCACGUCCAUGUAACCGAGGGAGCGCUCUGCUCUGGUGGUGACAGAAUCCCAGAAGAGGGCUGCCCACAGGGGCCUAAGUUCCUGUGGGCUUCUGGAGCAGAGGGAGCCUGAGCUGAAUCCCAUGAAGAUAGGACUUAGCCAGGCCGGGAGUGGGUGGCUCUUGACAGAGUGACUGGGUCCCACCUCAGAGAGCUACCGCAGUAUAGUACUGCACAAUGCCCCUUCUUCCCCAGCAACUGACUGGGGGAGAGAAGAACCCUGACCCCCAGGGAUGGACAGUGAAAAGCAAAUCAAGGUGUCUACCAGCCAGGUCCAGACUCCAGGCAAAUGUCAUUGGAAAGUAGCCAGCAUGGAGAUCCCACAGUACCCCUCCCUCUAGUAUUCUGAUAUUCUCUGGAGCUGGGAAGCUGGCAAAAAAAAUAAAUAAAUAAAUAAAUAAUCAAGAUUUUAAAGUUUCAAUGGAUUGUUUUCUGUUUCUUUCUACAUUCUCUCCACAUCCUCUCUGGUGGAAGCCCGCCUGUUUUCCUAGCAUCACUGAAGAAUAUGGCGGCCUCCAUUCCAGCUUGAGGUCUGCCCCUUCCUAGGCAGCCGUGAGCUUUCAGUUGAGACACUUGGCAUCCGUUAAAAGGAGAAUAAUAAAAAACGUCAUAGCCAUCUCACUGGCUAUUUCUUCCAGUUGGUGGGAUAGUGCCUGUAAAAAUGUUUUAAAAACAGAGGAAGUGGCAAAUUGGCCUCCAUGAUAAACAGAACUUGAUGCCACAUUUUCUAAAAGUUAAAAUCUCAAUGAACAGAGCAACCCCUAGUGUUUUAUUUCUCGGGGCAAAUGCUGUGUUGCAUUUACGCAUCUGCAAUGUUUUACCAAGAUCCAAGGGGGGUUGUUAUCUUAAUUAACAGGGAGUCUUUCGUUUAUAUAUAGAACUUUUAAUGUAUUUGGAGCUUUUAAUAGAUUUGCAUCUUGCAACUUAUAGUAUCUCACCCCCUGAAGGAGGUAGGGUGCACAUGGUGGAGCAGCUGAUCCUUAAAUUCCAGCCCCUCCCCAUUCUCCCCUCAACCCUGGGCUGCUGGGUGCUCCUUUGAGUGUAGGAGGUGUCAGAGGUACAGGAAGUACAGCUCCUGGGCCUCUGAUGGCUGCGGGGGAGGAUGACUUUAGGGUCUCAUUCAAAAACUGGCCAUGAGCCCAGCCUGGCACGGGAUCUCUGUCUCUGAGUUAAUGGUGUGGGGGCUCCCAGCAGUGGUUGACCCAAUGGACCAACUCCAUUGUAGGAAAUGUAGGCUCUGCUUCUAUAGUGUCCCAAAUGGGGUGUGGGGUGACAAUGUGGAAGUGACAGUGGUUGAAACAACUCCUACCCUUCAACCCCUAGGGUUGCCUUGGACAGAGGCCAAAGGAAGGAGAUAGGAAUACACAGGGAUUUGUGCUUUGUAUUUUUUUUUUUCAUUGAGAAGGGGGAAUUGUGAGGGAGAAUAAAAAAGGCUGUGGAAAAGGAAGGCUUGUUUGUUUUAAGGGAAAUUAGAGUGGGAUCAGGAAAGACAGUCCUUCCAAAUGAUAUUUAGUUAACACUGGGGCUCUGGGGUGAUAAUGGCUAUUGUUUUUGAGUUCUUAUUAUCUACCUGGCACUGGCUAGGUUCUCCAAUUGGGUAUGGACUUCUCAAGUCACAAACCCCACUGUAGAUGAAAUACCUUCUAUGACUCAAUUUCUAUUCAGGGUUCACAUUUCAUCCAAUAGUAGAAACUUAAUCAAUUCAAGAUAAUUCAGCCAAUCUCAGUUUUCUUAGCAUGCUUGGGAGUUGGCAAAUUUAUUCUUUCCCCAGGGAGUUGCAUCUAAGAUCUGGGGACCUUAACAGACAUUGAGGGGGAGGGGGUGAUUGUGGGAGAGUGGUGGUCUUGAGAGCUAGUCUCCUUGGAUCCUAACCCUGACAAGUUUUGGGGCCUGUGGGACUUCUCCCAGCCACUUGUGUGUGUGUCAUCUCAGCUUCUCUCUCCUGAACCCCCAGGAGGCUGCAGGUCCUCUGGGCCCAUUUCAGCCCUGUGACAGCUUUGCCUUUGGCCGCCUUCCUUUACAGGCGCAUGAGCAAGUUCUUGGGCCUCGCAGCUUGUCUGGGCCCCUCUGAGCCAGCGUGGGCUUCAGAGGCACUCUGCACAGUCCUGCUGUGUUGCUUUCUUCCCAGCCUAGAUGCUGGCCUUUCCCUGGGAACACCUCCCUCUCCGAGGUGCAGGUGUGGAAGUAGGAACAGGGAUGCUCGAGCAAGUCUUCCUCCAAACCCACUUUUAUGCCAGGACUUGGCCUUCCAAUCCUCUCCAAAGACACUGGCUGGUUUCUCUUUGCAUCUCGGCUAGAACAACCUGGCCCUGAAGGCAGGGAGUGGAUGCUGCCCGGACCAAGAGGAGGAGCAGUUAAGACACACGGGCACAUGUUUUAAAGUCUUGUGAUGCCUGCUUGUUCUCUCUGCUUCAACUAUUCUGAAGUAUUUGCUGCAUCCCCAUUCUGUGACUACAAGGCUGAGACACAUCCGGAGGGAUGUUUUUGGUCCCCUAUCAUGAGGUGGGAAGUGGCAGAGGUGGGGUCCAGAGUUAGGAUCUUUUCACUCCAGCUCCCAGUCUGUCCUCUCUACCAAGCCCUGAUCUCUAAAAUGAAAGCCCUCAUCAGCGUGUUCUGUUUCAGGGGCAACAUCGCUCUGCCUUGAGCCUUUCCUCAUUCUUCAGAGCAUUAUUUACAAUAGCCAAGAUAUGGAAGCAAGCAAGGUGUCCAUGGAUAGAUGACUGGAUAAAGAAGAUGUGGUACAUAUACACGAUGGAAUAUUACUCCGCCAUGAAAAAUAACGAAAUCUUGCCAUUUGAAACAACAUGGAUGGACCUAGAGGGUAUUAUGCUAAGUGAAAUAAGUCAGACAGAGAAAGACCAAUACCAUAUGGUUGCACUUAUAUGUGGGAUCUAAAAAAUAAAAGACAUAAACAAGACAAAACAGAAACUCAUAAAUACAAAGAACCUCCUGGUGGUUGCCAGAGGGAAGAAGGUGGGUGAUGGGCAAAACAGGUGAAGGAGAUUAAGAGGCACAAACUUCCAGUUAUAAAAUAAAUACGUCAUGGGGAUGUAAUGUACAGCAAAGGGAAUAUAGUCAAUAAUACUGUAAUUACUUUGUGUGGUGACAGAUGGUAACUAGACUUAUCAUGGUCAUCACUUUAUAACAUACAUAAAUGUCGAAUCAGUAUGUUGUGCACGUGAAACUAGUAUAAUAUUGUAUGUCAAGUAUGCUUCAAUAAAAAAAAGUAGAGCCAGCCACCAUGGCCUAGCGGUUAAAUUCAGUUCCCAGGCAUGGACAUACACCACUCAUCUGUCAAUGGCCAUGCUGUGGUGGUGGCUCACAUAGAAAAAAAGGAAGGAUUGGUAGCAGAUGUUAGCUCAGGGCAAAUCUUCCGAGCAAAAAAAAAAAAAAAAUGGUAAAUUUAAUGAGUACGUUUUAAGAAAAGCAAUUCUCCAGAUUUCUGUAAGAAUUUUCUUAACACGCCUCAAAGGAUCCAGAAGUCCCAGAAGUCCUCAGUCUGCAUCCUCUGAUUAGACUCGCUCUUCCUGAAGCAGCAGUGCUCAAGUUCAUAAAUGAUUUCCUACCCAGUUCUGUUGUGUUGUGAUUUAGUUACUACCUUCCAUGAUUAUUUCCUACUCUUCAAAUGCAUUGUUAUAUUAUUAGUUUCAUAGGUUUCUGUGGGCUAAACUUGGAACCUUACCACAACCGAUUGCAUUAUUUCUUUAGAAGUGUGUUUCGAGUUCCUUAUCCAAUGUCUAGAUGUCUUUUUAGGACUCAUUCUUUUCAGCGGGAAACUUCUUAUGUUUUGAUAUUAAAUUUAGGCAAAUUUUCUCUCUGGCAAACAAUUUGAGAAAAAUGUGGUAUCUUUAUUAUUUUAGCCUAAGAGUUUAGCUCCUGCAAUAGUAUGUACUACUCAAAAAUGCAGGCACGAAGUUUAUAGAGCAGGGAGGAUUAUUAAGAAAAACAGACUAAGAGAAAUGGACAUCUUUCCCCAUCCUCAUCCCAGGAAAGAGAGGCUGGCGCCAUUGGGUUUCUUUAUUAAUGUUUAUUUCCCUUUCCUAAGAUUUCUCUCCGUUAGUGAUUAUUUGCAUGUGUAUCAUAAGGAAGGCCAAAGGGAUUGAAUGAACCUGUGUCCCUUAGUGGCAGAUAGAAUAAAUCAACUUUCAGCAAGUGGUCAGGUCAAGCUGCAGGCCCUUGGGUCUCUAAGGCCCCUGAGAGGAUGAUAGCUGAUGUCUAAGGGGUCAGUCAUCUUCAAGCCCAAGAAGGGCUUCAAGAAGGGUUGAUGAAUUGGCACAACCCAAAGACGGUUUUCAUUUUCUUCCAAGACUGGGAAAGAUGAGUGGGGCUACAUGGCAAGACCAGUGCCCCAUUGGUUGGGCACCAGUGUUUGGCCACAUAUCUGGAAAAUCCAGGCUAGCAUGGAAUUUCACAGACUUCUCCAAAAUUCCAGGGGCACUGAGUAUACUUGAUGGAUAUUUGCACUCACGACGCACCACCCUUAUGCCCUAGAAUCCGUUGGGCUGUUUCAGUGCAUCCUUCCCAGCCCUCCUGAGGCUUUGGUGUGCCUGGGAAUUUACAUUCCCCCUCCCAGCCCAGGAUCUGACCCCUCACCUUUUUUUUUCCACACUAACCAGGGGUUUAAUAGAAAUACAACCAGAACAGAAAAACUCAAAUCAUACAUAAAUCCAAACCAGAAUGCCAAGUGAUCAACACAAAGAGCAGAAUUUUUGACUCUUCAACUCAGUCAGCCCCCAAAUAAAAACCAACAAAGAUAGUGGAUCAAGAGAAUAGAGACAAAGAGUCACGUGAAGCUACAGGAGGAGAGUUGGGGAUGUUAUGUGUGUGUCACAGGGAACAGUCAAAGAAGACCCCAUGGUCAGGGCAGACCAUGGGCCAGGAUGGCCUAGCCGAUAGUGAGAGCCCACCUCCUUUGCCUGCCAAAUGGACAGCUCUGAGGAGGACUUCUACUCCAGAAUUGCCCUGUAGAAGGCAGCUGAAAGUCACCCUCUGGGGGUUUAGUCUGAAAUUGUACCCCUGACUGCCAUCCUCCCAGUUUUUGCCCUGCUUGCCCCGUUCUCUUGUGGUUUUCUCCUGGGAGCUCUUCCUUAGUCCAAUGUUGGGACACAAAUCUUUGUCUUACGGUCUGCUUCUGGGAAACCCUACCUAAGUCAGUGGUUCUUUCUGAAUGUGAGCCACAGUGGAGGGCAUGCUAGUGGUUAGGUCCUGCCUGUCUACUAGUCAACAUGUAGAGUGUUCUUUAAGCAGGACAAUCUUUUGCGAAAAGCCUCCCACCCAGAGACAUUAGUAGUUUCCCUCAUGGGCAUGGAAUUGGGUGGCCAGGACCUAGAACAAAGGCAGGUCCCUAGAUGAGCCCUAAAUAAACAUUGUUCCUGGUGGCCAUGGACUGGCCUCCAUCCUAGGCAAAGGAACCAGGCGAUAGGCAAGGUGAACGUGUAAAUAAUAAAGAGCUAUUGAAGGACCAAAUCCUAGGGUAAAAGCUAACAAAAGGAGUGACAGAGAUGGAGAGACUAAUAAUGGCGUACUUAUUAGAGAUGCUUCCUUGGGGAGCAGUGGUAGCUGUUGUGUCUCCAAAUCAGAAAGUUAUACCGCCAGCACCAUUCUACUCACUAUUGCUGUGUAACAAACCCCUCCCAAACUUAGUGGCUUAGAAUAACAGCAAUCAUUUAUUUUGCUUAUAAGUCUGCAAUUUGGGCAGGGCUCAAUGGGGACUGCUUAUCUCUGCUCCACGUGCUGGUGGCUUAGGUGGCUCAACUGGGGCUGGAAGGCUCACUUCUAGGAUGGCUCGUUCACGUGGCUGGCAAGUUGGUGUUGGAUUUCAGCUCCUUUCACAUGGAUCUUUUCACAGAGAAGAUUGAACUUCCUCACAGUAUGACAUCUAGCUUCCAAGAGCAACUGCCCUAAGAAUCAGGGAGUGGAAAUUGAUGGUUUAAGAUGUUAGCCUGGAAACUGGCACAGCGUCACUACUGCUGUAUUUUGUUGGUCAGUCACAGAGCCCAGAUUCAAGUGGAAGGGUCAACGACCCCAUCUAUCAAUGAAAGGAAUAUCAAUACAUUUUGCAGCCGUGUUUUUAAACUGCCACAAGCAUCUUCCAUCAAAUUGAGGCAGCUGGAAACCUGCGAGUCAUCUUUGCUGCCUCCAUUUCCUUUAUCCCUACGUUUAAUGCACCACUAAGACCUGUUUUUUAUUGUGGUAAAAUACACAUAACAUAAAAUUCACCAAUUUAUUUUUAAUUUUUAAAAAUUUUUAAAUUUUUGGUGAGGAAGAUUCACCCUGAGCUAACACCUGUGCCAAUUUUCCUCUGUUUUGUAUGUGGGAUGCCUCCACAGCAUGGCUGAUGAGUGGAGUAGGUCUGUGUCUGAGAUCUGAACCUGAGAACCCAGGCAACCAAGGAGGAGUUGGGAAAACUUCAACCACUCAGCCACGGGGCUGGCUCCAAAUUCACCAUUUUGAUAAUUUUAAAGUAUACAAUUCAGUGGCAUUUAGUACAUUUAUGACUUAAAUGUAAACCUUCACCAAUAUCUAGAUUCAGAGCAUUUCCAUCAUUCCAAAAAGAAACUCUGGAGCCAGCCCUGAUGGCCUAGUGGUGAAAGUUCAGCACACUCUCCUUCAGCAGCCCAGGUUCACUUCCUGGGUGCAGAACCACACCUCCCCGUCUGUCCAUUGCCAUGCUGUGGCAGUGGCUCACGCGGAAGAACUAGAAAGACUUACAACUAGAAUAUACAACUAUGUACUGGCGUUUGGGGAGGAAAAAUAGAGACAGAGAGAGAGAGGAAGAUUGGCAACAGAUGUUAGCUCAGAUCUAAUCUUUAAAAAAAAACACAACUCUGUAUCCAUUUGUUACUCCAUUCCUCCUACCCCCCAGCCCCUGGCCAUGACAAAUCUGCUUUCUAUCUCUGUGGAUUUGCCAAUGCUGGAUAUUUCAUAUGCUGGAAUCAUACAAUAUGCGGCCUUUGUGUUUGGCUUCUUCCACUUAGCAUAAUAUUUUCAAGGUUUAUCCAUGUUAUAACAUGUAUCAGUAUUUCAUUUCUUUGUAUUGCUGAGUAAUAUUCCAUCAUAUGGAUAUACCACAUUUUGUUUAUCCAUUUAUCAGUUGAUGACAUUUGAGUUGUUCCCACUUUUGGCUAUUGUGAGUAGUGCUGCUAUGAAUAUUUGUAUAUAAGUUUUUGUUUGAACACCUGAUUUCAAUUCCUUUGGGUAUAUAUCUAGGAGUAGAAUUGCUGCAUCAUAUGGUAAUUCCACGUUUAACUUAUUGAGGAACUCCCAUACUGUUUUCCAUAGUGGCUGCAUCAUUUCAACUUACCACCAACAAUGUAUGAGGGCUCCAAUUUUUCCACAUUCUCACCAAGACUUGUUAUUUUCUAUCGUGAGUGUAAAGUGGUAACUUGUGGUUUUGGUUUGCAUUUCCCUAACGACUAAUGAUGCUGAGCAUCUUUUCAUGCUUGGUCUGUUGGUCAUUUGUAUUUCUUCUUUGGAGAAAUGUCUGUUCAAGCCUUUGGACAUUUUUUAAUUGGGUUGUCUUUUUGUUGUUGACUUGUAAGAGUUUCUUGUAUAUUCUGGACACUAGACACUUCCCAGAUAUAUAAUUAAAAAUAUUUUUCUCCCAGUCUGUCAGUUGUCUUUUUUACUGUCUUUAUAGAGUUCUUUGGUAAAUAAAAGUUUUAAAUUUUGAUGAAGUCUAAUUUACUUUUUCUUUUGUUGCUGCUUUUGGUAUUUCUGAAAAUCCAUUGCCAAUUUUUUUUUAUUUUUUUGAGGAAGAUUAGCACUGAGCUAACGUCUGCUGCCAAUCCUUCUCUUUUUGCUGAGGAAUACUGGCUCUGAGCUAACAUUCAUGCCCAUCUUCCUCCACUUUAUAUGUGGGAUGCCUGCCACAGCAUGGCUUGAUAAGCGAUGUGUAGGUCUGCACUCAGGAUUAGAACCUGUUAAACCCAGGCUGCUGAAGCCAAACGUGCGAACUUAAGUCCUGUGCUACUGGGCUGGCCCCUCCAUUGCCAAAUUUAAGGUCAUGAAGACUUACUACUGUUUUCUUCUAACAGUUUUAUAAUUUUAGCCUUUAUAUUUAGGUCUUUGAUCUUUUUUGAGUCAAUUUUUGUAUAUGAUGUGAGGUAAGAGUCUGACUUCAUUCUUUCGUAUGUGGAUAUCCAGUUGUCCCAGGACCGUUUGUUGAAAAGAUGAUUCUUUCCUCAUUAAGUGGUCUUGGUACCCUUGUCAAAAGUCAAUUGCCCAUAGAUGGAUGGGUUUAUUUCUGGACUUUUAAUUCUAUUCCAUCGAUCCAUAUGCCUAUCCUUAUGCCAGUACCACACUAUUUUGAUUACUCUUAGCAUUGUAUUAACUUUUGAGAUUGGGAAGUGUGUAUUUUCCAAUAUUGUUCUUUUUGAAGAUUAUUUUGGCCAUUUGGGGUCCCUUAUAAUUUCACAUGAAUUUUGGGAUUGGCUUUUCCAUUUUGGCAAAAAAGACCACUGAGAAUUUGAUAGAGAUUGUGUUGACUCUGUGGAACGUCAGGGAGUAUUGUGAUGUUAACAAUAUUAAGUCUUCCAAUAAAUGAACACAGGAUGUCUGUCCAUUUGUUUAGGCCUUUAAUUUCUCUGAGCAAUGUUUUGUAGGAUUCAGUGUACAAUUCUUGUAUCUCCUUUGUUAAAUUUAUUCCUAAGUAUUUUAUCCUUUAGAUGCUAUUGUAACUGGAAUUGUUCUCUUAAUUUUCUUUUCAGAUUGUUUAUUGCUAGUGUAGAGAAAUACAACAGAUUUCUGUAUGUUGAUCUUGUAUCCUGUAACUUUGCUGAACUCAUUUGUUAGCUCCAAUAGUUUUUCAUCGAUUUUAUCUUAAAAAGAUUUAAUCUGGGGCCAGCCCGGUGGUGCAGCAGUUAAGUUCGCACGUUCCACUUCGGCAGCCCGGGGUUUGCCAAUUCGGAUCCCGGGUGUGGACAUGGCACCAUUUGACACGCCAUGCUGUGGUAGGCAGCCCACAUAUAAAGUAGAGGAAGAUGGGCACGGAUGUUAGCUCAGGGCCAGUCUUCCUCAGCAAAAAGAGGAGGACUGGCAGGUUAGCUCAGGGCUAAUCUUGCUCAAAAAAAAAAAAAGAUUUAAUCUUAUAUAGAUUUUCUCUAUAUUAGAUCAUGUUGUCUGUUAUCUGCAAGUAGAGAGAGUUUUACUUCUUCCUUUCCAAUCUGAGUGCCUUUUAUCUCUUUUUCUUGCCUUAUUGGACUGUCUAGAACUUACAGUACAGUGAUAAACGGAAGUGGAAAACGUGUUCAUCAUUAUCUUGUUCCUGAUUGAGAGGAAAGCUUUCAGUCUUUCACCAUUGAGUUUGUUAGCUGUGGGUUUUUCACAAAUAUGUUUGAUCACGUUGAGGAAAUUGCCUUUUUUCCUAGUUUGUUGAGUGUUUUUAUCACAAAAGGGUGUUCAAUUUAGUCAAAAAUUUUUUCUGUAUCAAUUGAAAUGAUCAUAUGAUAUUUUCUUUCAUUUUAUUAACGUGGUGCAUUAUAUUAGUUGAUUUUUAUAUGUUGAACUACCCUUGACAUCCUGGAGUAAAUCCUACUUGGUCUUGGUGGAUAGCCAUCUUAAUGUGCUGCUGCAUUCAGUUUGCUAGUAUUUUGUUAAGAAUUUUUGCAUCUGUAUCCACAAGGGCUAUUGGUCUGGGUUUUCUUUUGAUGGGUUUGGCUUUGGUACCAUGGUAAUGUUGGCCUUGUAGAAUGUUAGGAAGUAUUCUCUCCUCUUAAGUUUUUGGGAAGAUUUUGAGAAAGAUUGGUGUUAAUUCUUUUUUAAAGUUGGUUUGGUUGAAUUCAUCAGUGAAACCAUUUGAUCCUGGGCUUUUGUUGUUAUUGGGAAGUUUUUAAGUGUUGAUCCAAUCUCUUUACUGGUUAUAGGUCUGUUCAGAUUUUCUAUAUCUUCUUGAGUCAGUUUUGAUAGUUUGUGUGUUUUUAGGAAUUUCAUUUCAAUUCAUCUAGAUUAUCUAAUUUGUUGCUGUACAAUUUUUUAUAGUAGUCUUUUAUAAUCCUUUAUACUUGUGUAAUGUCCCCACUUUCAUUUAAGUUUUAGUAAUUUGAGUCUUCCUUCUGUUUUUCCUGGUCAGUCUAGCUAUAAGUUUAAUUUUGUUGAUAUUUUCAAAGAAUCAACUUUUGUUUUCAUUGAUUCUCUCUAUUGUUUUCCUAUUCUCUAUUUCAUUUAUCUCCACUCUAAUGUUUAUUAUUUCCUCCUUCUGCUAGUUUUUGGUUUAUCUGCUCUUCUUUUUUUUAGUUCCUGAACAUGUAAAGUUAGGUUGUUGAUUUGAGAUCUUAUUUUUUAAUGUAGGCAUUUACAGUUAUAAAUUUCCCUCUGAGAGCUCCUUUUUCUGCAUCCCAUAAGUUUUGGGAUCUUGUGUUUUAAUAUUCUUUUGUCUCAAAGGAUUUGCUAAGUCUCCUUGUGAUUUCUUCUUUGACCCAUUGAUUGUUUAAGAGUGUGUUGUUUAAUUUCUGCAUUUUUGUGAAUUUUCCAGCUUUCCUUCUGUUAUUGAUUUCUAGUUUCACUGCAUUAUUGCCUGAGAAGAUACUUUGUGGGUAAUUUCAACCUUUUAAAAUUUACUGAAACUUGUUUUGUGGCCUGACAUACGAUCUAUCCUUGUGAAUCUUCCAGGAACACUUGAAAAGAAUAUAUAUUAUGCUAUUGUCGAGGAGAGUGUUUUGUAUGUGUCAGUUAAGUCAUGUUGGCUUAUGAUGUUUUUCAAGUGCUCUCUUCCUUAUUGAUCUUCUGUCCAGUUGUUCUAGUCAUUGUGAAAGUGAGUGUAGUGAAAUCUCCAACUAUUAUUAUAGAAUUGUAUAUUUCUCUCUUCAAUUCUGUCAGUUUUUCUCUUGAAAUAUUUUGGGGCUCUGUUGUAGAUGUAUAUAUGUUUAUAAUUGUUAUGUCUUUUUGAUGGAUUGUAUCUUCAUCAUUAUAAAAUGUUCUCCCUUGUCUGAAGUAAAAAUUUUUGCCUUAAAAUCUAUUUUGCCUUAUUAGUAUAGCCACUGCAGCUCUCUUUUGGUUACUAUUUGCAUGGAUUAUCUUUUUUCCAUUCUUUCACUUUCAAUUUCCCUAUGUGUUUGGAUCUAAAAAGAGUCUCUUGUAGACAGCAUAUAGUUGGAUCAUUUAAAAAAUCCAUUUGGCCAAUCUCUGCCUUUUAAUUGAAAAGUAUAUUAGACAGCGUACUCCAGAGAAACAGAACCAACAGUAUAUAUAUAGUGGAGGCUUGGAAAGUCCAAAAUCUGAUGAAGUAGGCUGGUGGGCUGGAGACUCAGAAAAGAGUUGCCGUUUGAGUCCAAAGUCAGUCUGUUGGCAGAAUUCCUUCUUGGUCAGGUUCGAUCAGUCUUUGUUCUAUCAAGGCCUUUAAGUGAUUGGAUGAGGCCAACUCACACUAUGGAAGGUCAUCUGCUUUACUCAAAGUCCCCUGAUUUAAAUGUUAAACUCAUCCAAAAAAAUACGUUCACAGAAACAUCCAGAAUCGUCUUUGACCAACUAUGUGGGUACUGUGGCCCAGCCAAGUUGACACAUAAAAUGGACCAUCAGAAGUCCACUCCUUGUCAACUUGGCACUCAUACACAGCUCCUUAAAGAAUACUUAAUCUCCAAAUAAAGACAAUAACAAGGUCACACUUCUGCCUAACAUGAUAUAACUAUCCUGCGUACAACCCAAGACAUACUAACACUUUCCUCAGAAGAGAAUGGAAAAGUCCUUGGGUGAUGUUUACUCUUCUUGAUAUCCUGUAACUUAAAUCCUAUGAUAUAAAGUCAAUGCAUCUUGUAUUACAUGAUAAAGGGAUAAGAGAAGGAAGAAGGGCCAGCUCCGGGGCCGAGUGGUUAAAUUCACGCACUCCACUUUGGUGGGCCAGGGUUUCAUGGGUUUGGAUCCUGGGCACGGACAUGGCACCGCUCAUCAGGCCAUGCUGAGGCAGCGUCCCAGGUAGCAAAACCAGAGGCACUCACAACUAGAAUAUACAACUAUGUACUGGGGGGCUGUGGGGAGAAGAGGAAGAAAGAGGAG